GAGCAAGAAGAGCAGGGUAGGGUUUAACCCCCUAGAAAAAGGGUAAUGAAAACGUAUGUAUAGAAUCUACAGGCUCUGAGGAAAUAUCUUCCUUUCUUUGACUUAAAAAACAGAAUUGUAUGUAACUAAAGAGUUUUGGACUAGGAAAACAUUAUGAAGUGGCAUUUGAAAGUGAAUUCUUAAAAAUUAUAACUUUGUGGUCUUCACCAAUAUUAACACAUUUUCCAACUGUUUUUCAUCUUUUUCCAACUGUUUUUCAUCUUUUUCCUUUGUAAUUCAUCUUGACUCAUCUUCAUUGUGCUUGAGCAUUCCAGUUUCUUGCUUUAUUUUUGUCUUCCCGUCUAUUGUGUCAGAAUGUACUACAAAUCUAAUCAAAUGUCCCGUGGAAUACAAAAGAUUAAGACAUUUACUAACUCACCAGUCCACGUGGAUUUCAGCUAUUUCUGACUUGUUAUUGAUUUGCUUAUUGUAAUUUAAAUUUUAAAAAUGCAGUCCAGGCCGGGUGCGGUGGCUCACACUUGUAAUCCCAGCACUUUGGGAGGCUGAGGCGGGUGGAUCACAAGGUCAGGAGUUCAAGACCAGCCUG
rnacentral:sRNA from 1 species